rnacentral:sRNA from 1 species
GUUUGCCUGUUUACGGAAGUAGGAUUAAAAAAAAAACAAAAAAUUUUAUUUUUUUUCCCAAAAUAUGUUUAUCGCUUGAGAUCUCAGACUAGAAUGAAAAUCGGUGGAGCUCACACAGGCUCGAGCAUUCUACAAAUCAAGAAAUUUUACCCAGAAGAAACCGUUGUGGUUAUCUCAAAAUCAAAUAGAAUUCCACUUCACCGCGUUUUUUGAAAUAUUUGAUGCUGCCGCUGAGGGUUCCCCUCCAUCGCCUCAAUGUCAUAAUUUAGCUGGAGGCGCAACAAGUCGGGAAAAGCUGGAUAUGCUGUCAUCAACACGCGGUCUUCCCGGAUUCGCCGACAGUGAAAAAAUGCUCAAUGGCUGCGGGGAAAGAUAGAAAAAAACGUUAAGCGACUUUUUCCUCAGCAUCUGGAACAUCAUUAUUCACAUGGCACAAUCCGGGAUUAUCGCACCGGGCAGUGAAAGGACGCAGUGAAGUGGAGGGAGCGGAGCAAAGACGGGCUCGAGUGAAAGUCAGGAGGCCAGAAAGCCCACCAGUAAGCAAUGGGGGAAGUAGACCAGGAAUAUUAAAAAAAAAAUAUUGACUCAAGUCGCAACAGGAAGAGACCCUGAAAAACUGAACAUGGAUAACUAAUAGUCAGGGACAAGCCUGCCACGCAAAAAGUUUGAGCACUUUUUGUGCAUGGCUUAGCGGGAAGGAUGUCCAUUACGAAGCUUCCUUGAUCGGUGUCCUCCAUUUCAUCCAAGAGCCAACUUCAUUAAUUCAAAAAAAUGGACUUUUGAUUAAUGUUAUUCAGGACUUGGACUAUAUAUCAGAGUGGGAUUACGAGAAAUUUUGGCAAAUUAGGGUAUAGCUGAAAAAAGAGAGUCCAGGUAUCCAUGGUUACUUAUUGUCUGUCUGACAGUCUGAUAGUCAAGCCAAUCCCCCACGAGAUGGUUCCCGACAGUGACAACUGCACCAAACAACAUCACCAUCGACAAAAUACAGAAAAACAAAAAGACUAAGGAGUAUUCAAAGACAAUGUCCGGCUGAAAGACCAAGGCCACCAACCCAACUAAAAUAUUUCUAAAAGCGGAGGGUCAGAGUUGA